rfam:Catabacter hongkongensis strain HKT16 2806ref_2ab_c20, whole genome shotgun sequence.
AGUUUCCUGGGGUGUGCGUAACGCUUUGUGUUUUAAACCCACAUUCUAAAUUCGGGAAUCAGAUGUCUUUACAGCGGUGUGCAGGUCCGUUACGUGCGGAAAGCCUAAAGCUGUGAGCGGGAUACCCACCUGCCGUGAGGCGGGUUUUAGAAUCAAGGCGUACGGCACUUUGGGGCAUAU